ACUGCUAUUGGGGUUCGACUAAGCCAUGCAAGUCUUCCGCGAGGAGGCAAAAGGCUGAGUAACACGUAGGUAACCUACCUUAAGGAGGGAAAUAACCUCGGGAAACUGAGGAUAAUGUCCCAUAGGUUUUGGAUAUUGGAAUAUUCCAAAACUCAAAGCUUCGGCGCCUUAAGAUGGGCCUGCGGCCUAUCAGCUUGUUGGUAGUGUAAUGGACUACCAAGGCUAAGACGGGUAGGGGCAGUGAGAGCUGGAGCCCCCAGAUGGGUACUGAGACACGGACCCAAGCCCUACGGGGUGCAGCAGGCGCGAAACCUCCGCAAUGCACGCAAGUGUGACGGGGGGACCCCAAGUGUCCCUGGAUUUUUCCAAGGACUUUUCUUAAGUGUAAAGAGCUUGAGGAAUAAGAGCUGGGUAAGACGGGUGCCAGCCGCCGCGGUAAUACCCGCAGCUCGAGUGGUCUGGAGUUUUAUUGGGUUUAAAGCGUUCGUAGCCGGGUUUGUAAGUUCUCUGUGAAAUCUGGCAGCUUAACUGUCAGGCGUGCAGAGGAUACUGCAAACCUUGGGACCGGGAUGGGCCAAGGGUACUCCUAGGGUAGGGGUGAAAUACCUGNAAAAGGUUUCACAAUCCAAUAANCCUNGGGGGACCANCUGUGGCAAANGCGCUUGGCUNAAACGGUUCCGACGGUGAGGGACGAAAGCUAGGGGAGCGAACGGGAUUAGAUACCCCGGUAGUCCUAGCUGUAAAUGCUGCAGACUAGGUGUUGCCUUCUCCUUGUGAGAGGGCAGUGCCGAAGGNAAACCGUUAAGUCUGCCACCUGGGAAGUACGGUUGCAAGGCUGAAACUUAAAGGAAUUGACGGGGGAGCACCACAAGGGGUGGAGCGUGCGGUUCAAUUGGAUUCAACGCCGGAAAUCUUACUGGGGGCGACAGCAGGAUGAAGGUCAGGUUGACGAUCUUACUAGACUUGCUGAGAGGUAGUGCAUGGCCGUCGUCAGUUCGUGCCGUAGGGCGUUCGGUUAAGUCCGACAACGAACGAGACCCACGCUAUCAGUUGCUAACCUUUUCUCUGGAAGAGGUGCACUCUGAUAGGACCGCUGCUGAUGAAGCAGAGGAAGGAGUGGGCAACGGUAGGUCAGUAUGCUCCGAAUCCCCCAGGCUACACGCGGGCUACAAUGGUUGGAACAAUGAGCUGCGACACUGAAAAGUGAAGCCAAUCUCCAAAUCCAAUCCCAGUUCGGAUCGAGCUUUGUAACUCAGGCUCGUGAAGUCGGAAUCCCUAGUAAUCGUGUUUCACUAUAACACGGUGAAUAUGUCCCUGCUCCUUGUACACACCGCCCGUCAAAUCACCUGAGUUGGGUUUGGAUGAGGUCUUAUCUUCUGAUAAGUUCGAAUCCGAGUUCAGCAAGGGGGGUU
rnacentral:rRNA from 1 species